UGCGAUCGACGCCGUAGCAUACGGAGUGGCAGACGGGUGAGUAACGCGUGGGAACCUUCCCAGUGGUACGGAAUAGCCCGGGGAAACCCGGAGUAAUACCGUAUACGCCCGAAAGGGGAAAGAUUUAUCGCCAUUGGAUGGGCCCGCGUCGGAUUGGCUAGUUGGUGAGGUAACGGCUCACCAAGGCGACGAUCCGUAGCUGGUCUGAGAGGAUGAUCAGCCACACUGGGACUGAGACACGGCCCAGACUCCUACGGGAGGCAGCAGUAGGGAAUAUUGGACAAUGGGCGAAAGCCUGAUCCAGCCAUGCCGCGUGAGUGACGAAGGCCUUCGGGUUGUAAAGCUCUUUUGGCGGGGACGAUAAUGACGGUACCCGCAGAAUAAGCCCCGGCUAACUUCGUGCCAGCAGCCGCGGUAAUACGAAGGGGGCUAGCGUUGUUCGGAAUCACUGGGCGUAAAGCGCACGUAGGCGGACUUUCAAGUCAGGGGUGAAAUCCCGGAGCUCAACUUCGGAAUUGCCUUUGAUACUGGUGGUCUCGAGUCCGG
rnacentral:rRNA from 1 species